GCCCUGGUAGCUCAGUUGGUAGAGCGACUGACUGUUAAUCAGUAGGUCGUAGGUUCGAGUCCUGCCCAGGGCG
rnacentral:tRNA from 3 species